rnacentral:rRNA from 1 species
AUUGAACGCUGGCGGCAGGCCUAACACAUGCAAGUCGAGCGGAUGAAGGGAGCUUGCUCCUGGAUUCAGCGGCGGACGGGUGAGUAAUGCCUAGGAAUCUGCCUGGUAGUGGGGGAUAACGUCCGGAAACGGGCGCUAAUACCGCAUACGUCCUGCGGGAGAAAGUGGGGGAUCUUCGGACCUCACGCUAUCAGAUGAGCCUAGGUCGGAUUAGCUAGUUGGUGGGGUAAAGGCCUACCAAGGCGACGAUCCGUAACUGGUCUGAGAGGAUGAUCAGUCACACUGGAACUGAGACACGGUCCAGACUCCUACGGGAGGCAGCAGUGGGGAAUAUUGGACAAUGGGCGAAAGCCUGAUCCAGCCGUGCCGCGUGUGUGAAGAAGGUCUUCGGAUUGUAAAGCACUUUAAGUUGGGAGGAAGGGCAGUAAGUUAAUACCUUGCUGUUUUGACGUUACCAACAGAAUAAGCACCGGCUAACUUCGUG